rnacentral:rRNA from 1 species
UACGGAGGGGGCUAGCGUUGUUCGGAAUUACUGGGCGUAAAGCGCGCGUAGGCGGGCUGUUAAGUCGGGGGUGAAAUCCCGGGGCUCCACCCCGGAACUGCCUUCGAUACUGGCAGCCUAGAAGACGGUAGAGGGCAGUGGAAUGACGAGUCUAGAGGUGAACUUCGUAGAUAUUCGCCGGAACACCAGUGGCGGAGGCGACUGACUGGUCCGUUUCUGACGCUGAGGUGCGAAAGCGCGGUGAGCAAAUAGG